GCGGGGGUGCCCGAGCAGGUCAAAGGGGGCGGACUUAAGAUCCGCUGGCGUAGGCCUGCGUGGGUUCAAAUCCCACCCCCCGCA
rfam:Sulfolobus acidocaldarius DSM 639, complete genome.